UACGUAGGGACCUAGCGUUGUCCGGAAUCAUUGGGCGUAAAGAGCGUGUAGGCGGCCCGAUAAGUCCGCUGUGAAAGUCCAGGGCUCAACCCUGGGAUGCCGGUGGAUACUGUCGGGCUCGAGUCCGGAAGAGGAGUGUGGAAUUCCUGGUGUAGCGGUGAAAUGCGCAGAUAUCAGGAGGAACACCAAUGGCGAAGGCAGCACUCUGGGACGUGACUGACGCUGAGACGCGAAAGCGUGGGGAGCAAACAGG
rnacentral:rRNA from 1 species